rnacentral:rRNA from 2 species
UACGUAGGGGGCGAGCGUUGUCCGGAAUUAUUGGGCGUAAAGCGCGCGUAGGCGGCUGGUUAAGUCCUGUGUGAAAGACCACGGCUCAACCGUGGGGGUGCACGGGAAACUGGCCGGCUUGAGUGCAGGAGAGGGGAGCGGAAUUCCCGGUGUAGCGGUGGAAUGCGUAGAGAUCGGGAGGAACACCAGUGGCGAAGGCGGCUCCCUGGCCUGUAACUGACGCUGAGGCGCGAAAGCGUGGGGAGCGAACAGG